rfam:Rhizobium sp. AC27/96 AS1I6_3, whole genome shotgun sequence.
CCGCUGGUCCGGGCCCCUCUGGUGAGAGCCGUCGGCGCUCUUGCGAUGUCGGACCUUUUCC